AUUGAACGCUGGCGGCAUGCUUUACACAUGCAAGUCGAACGGCAGCGCGGGCUUCGGCCUGGCGGCGAGUGGCGAACGGGUGAGUAAUGCAUUGGAACGUGCCCAGUAGUGGGGGAUAGCCCGGCGAAAGCCGGAUUAAUACCGCAUACGACCUGAGGGUGAAAGCGGGGGACCGAAAGGCCUCGCGCUAUUGGAGCGGCCGAUGUCGGAUUAGCUAGUUGGUGGGGUAAAGGCUUACCAAGGCGACGAUCCGUAGCUGGUCUGAGAGGACGACCAGCCACACUGGGACUGAGACACGGCCCAGACUCCUACGGGAGGCAGCAGUGGGGAAUUUUGGACAAUGGGGGCAACCCUGCUCCAGCCAUGCCGCGUGCGGGAAGAAGGCCUUCGGGUUGUAAACCGCUUUUGUUCGGGAAGAAAUCCUCUGGGCUAAUACCCCGGGGGGAUGACGGUACCGGAAGAAUAAGCACCGGCUAACUACGUG
rnacentral:rRNA from 1 species